AACUGCUCCAGCACCAGCAGCUCCAGGAUCUGCUCCUUGCUGUGCAUAUCUGGCCGCAGCCACUGUCUGCAGAGCUCCCGGAGCCGGCUCAGCGCCUGCCGGGGCCCAGCGGCCUCGGGGUAGCGGAAAGCGCGGAAGCGCUGGCGGGAGCGGUCGGGCCCAGGGCUGCCCAGCCAACUGGCCUCCUCUGCCAAGGGGGAGGCCUCUUCCUGUUCCACCUUUAUGACCAGUAACUCCAUCUGGUCCUCUGCAGAGUGCGAGUCCAGGGUUGUGCUUUCCCUUGAUUCUCUAGCCAUCCCGCGCCAAGUCGUUCUUCCGUUUCACUGUAGCUCUGAGUUGUAUUUCUGCAAAAGACUACUGAGAGGUGGAGAUGACUAUGAGCCACUUGUAGUUGCAAAUGCUCCCCUCCUCCUAUGCCCAGGACCCCGGGGAAGCUGCCAUGGAACAACUGAGGAGAUCCUCUUGUUCAAACGCCUCUGUAGCUUUUCAUUCUGUACCAUCUCGGGGGACUUAGAUAUCAACUACGAAUAUCUGUGAGGGUGUUCUGGAGAGGCUAAACUUAAGUCAGAAGACCCACCGUGACUGUGGGUGGCCUCAUUCCACGGGCUCCGGUCCCACACAUAAAGGAGAGCGUCCGUGGAACAGCAGCAUUCAUCUCUGCUGCCUGACUACAGACAGAACGCGAGUCGCUGCCGCCAUGUUGAACUGCACGGUCAAACUGCCAACCAAGAGAAGCCCUUGCUAGGCUUGCUCCUGUUGAGGGCUUUGUCAUGGCAGCGACAAAGUACCCGACAUGACUAGACCCGAGAAGAGAGGCCGCUGCUGUGACACACUUGACCGUGUGUUUCUUAUCUAUGGACUGGUUUAUGGAGAGGAAGGCCAGAGUUUGGAGCUGUAGACUAAUGCCCUAGAUGGAUGAAACUUAGAAACCAGAGGAGGUAGUCGACUGGUUAAGAAGCUGCCCUGAGCAAGGACUAUUAGCCACAGCCAGCAGAACUGAUCUAACACCAAAUCCACCUGCUUUACGCUCUGCAAAGGUGCCUUAAGGAAACUACAUGCCAACUUUAGCUGCUUGCUGUGAAAACGUAAUUCCAGUUCAGAAGGCACUAUUCAGCUGUGACUGUUUAGUUGAUGCAGCAGAUUUUUAAGCAUCACACGCCUUGGUGAACUCUGGUAGCCAUUUUCACCCAGGCAGAGGGCAAGCGCUUUCUCUGGUGACCCAACAAAAGGACCAUCCUGUUAUUGGUGCAAACAGUUCUUGCAUCAAAACACCAUUACAUCGUUCUGGCUAUAAAGCAGGCCGUUCAGCUUCCUGUUUCUGUCAGCCAGGAAAUACCCCCUCAUACACUUUCAUGGGAUUAUCUGUUUGUAGGGCCCUGCUUGCCCUGUUGUCCACGUGACUGCAGACUUAGGACCAUGAUUGAAGACUUUCAGGUGCCAUUUCAGGAUCCGCGAUAAGAAAUGGCAAAGGCUGGCCAUAAGUAUUUCUAUUACUCUCACACGUGUGGCUUCAACCUUGAUGGGGGAUGAGUAUCAUCAAGUUUUAGACGGAACCUACUUAAAUGAUUAUCAUACCUAUUUGCAGAGUUGAGCAGGGACUGAUGUAGAGACAUACGAAAUGAAGGCAGAGAUGGCAGGCUUUUACCGUGGGUUAAGGGACCUCGUGAGUCCAGUGAAGACUACUUUUCAGCAAGGCAGUUUCUACGCUACCUGCUAGGCACACAGGGAAUUUACUCCUCUGAUCGACUUACAAAUAUUUAUUCUAAUUCAUUUAAUUCUCGAAUGCAAGUCAGUCCUUCACAGUUACUUGCCUACACACUCUUCUUCUAGAGUUUGAGAUUCCAGAAGAGAAAUACAGAAGGAUUUAGGAGAAAAAAAAACCCCAAACAAACAAACAAACAAACAACAAC